rnacentral:rRNA from 1 species
UGGGGAAUUUUGGACAAUGGGCGAAAGCCUGAUCCAGCAAUGCCGCGUGUGUGAAGAAGGCCUUCGGGUUGUAAAGCACUUUUGUCCGGAAAGAAAUCCUUGGCUCUAAUACAGUCGGGGGAUGACGGUACCGGAAGAAUAAGCACCGGCUAACUACGUGCCAGCAGCCGCGGUAAUACGUAGGGUGCAAGCGUUAAUCGGAAUUACUGGGCGUAAAGCGUGCGCAGGCGGUUUGCUAAGACCGAUGUGAAAUCCCCGGGCUCAACCUGGGAACUGCAUUGGUGACUGGCAGGCUAGAGUAUGGCAGAGGGGGGUAGAAUCCCACGUGUAGCAGUGAAAUGCGUAGAGAUGUGGAGGAAUACCGAUGGCGAAGGCAGCCCCCUGGGCCAAUACUGACGCUCAUGCACGAAAGCGUGGGGAGCAAACAGGAUUAGAUACCCUGGUAGUCCACGCCCUAAACGAUGUCAACUAGUUGUUGGGGAUUCAUUCCUUAGUAACGUAGCUAACGCGUGAAGUUGACCGCCUGGGGAGUACGGUCGCAAGAUUAAAACUCAAAGGAAUUGACGGGGUCAUAGCUGUUUCCU